CCUACGGGGGGCACCAGUAGGGAAUCUUCGGCAAUGGACGAAAGUCAGACCGAGCAACGCCGCGUGAGUGAAGAAGGUUUUCGGAUCGUAAAACUCUGUUGGUAGAGAAGAACGUUGGUGAGAGUGGAAAGCUCAUCAAGUGACGGUAACUACCCAGAAGGGACGGCUAACUACGUGCCAGCCGCCGCGGUAAUACGUAGGUCCCGAGCGUUGUCCGGAUUUAUUGGGCGUAAAGCGAGCGCAGGUGGUUUAUUAAGUCUGGUGUAAAAGGCAGUGGCUCAACCAUUGUAUGCAUUGGAAACUGGUAGACUUGAGUGCAGGAGAGGAGAGUGGAAUUCCAUGUGUAGCGGUGAAAUGCGUAGAUAUAUGGAGGAACACCGGUGGCGAAAGCGGCUCUCUGGCCUGUAACUGACACUGAGGCUCGAAAGCGUGGGGAACAAACAGGAUUAGAUACCCCUGUAGUC
rnacentral:rRNA from 1 species